GAAGGAAGCCUGCCAGCAAAAAGCACUGUGUCAAAACAACAUCAGCUGCAUCCUUGUCUGAAGUUCUAGCUCCUUUGAGAAUCCAGAAGACCGUGAGGGCUGAAGAGCUACAAUGGAUUGUGGAGGUAUAUCUUGGAGUACAGAAGUACACUCUGGAUCCUUCACCUUGGAAAUAAGCUGACCGCAUGUCUUGUUUUCUGAAAAAGGGAUUGCAACCUGCCUGGCUGGCAUCUGCUGCUGCGGCCAGUCAAGUUAAAGCAAUUCCCCUCCUAGGAUGCAAUCAACUGACAAAUUCAGGAAAUGACGGCCAGUGUUCACAGGAGUUCAGGUGAAGAAACAGACACAGUUGCAAAUACUGGACCUGGAAUAUGGCUGAUAAGAUAGGAGGAAAGACUUCGAAGAAGAGGCCCCAAUUAUCAAAGAUGGUUCCAACCAGUUUUAGCAAAGGAAAGGAUUUGAGAAAUAGUGGCAAUAGUCAUAGGUCUGAUAAAUAAGGUAUAAAAAGGUCAGCUCUUGAGUUUGUUGCUAGUAGCUGCCUGUCCAGUUGGAGCCAGCCAAUAUGAGUUUGAGCAUCCCCAGUGCUAGUCCUAAGUACUUGAUCAAUACAAUAACAAAUUAUUAUAUGCGUGAGAUAAGUGUUGAACCAUCUGGCUCCCGCCUCUCAUGGUCCCACAAUACCAUUUUAAGAGUAUUAAUUUAGUGUUCCAACUGUACCUUAUA